UGUGACAGCAGAGAAGGCGGAUGUCUGUGUACUGAUGUGUGCAUCUUUGUUUUAUAGACCUCUUUUCCGCAGAUGGCAGAUUACAAGGUAGCAGGGCUUCAGUAAAACCGGCCUCCAGGCCCCACUGGGAAUAGUGCAUCACGAUGUAAACCCAGAGUCAACUUCCUCUUGUCCGAUCGGAGUCCUGCCGUCCGCCCAUCAAGAGCAGCUCGAUCCGGGAUGAACGAUGGAUUUAGGUCUCUGAGAAGACGUCGGCUCAAUUGUUGCAUGUUGGGUACGCUGGAAUAUUUCUGCAACAGAUUAAUAGCCAAUGGGUCAGAAGGUGAGCUUAGCCUUCUCAAGGGCUCCUCCACUUUUAGUAUAUAUACUGUAUAUACAUGCAUGUAUGUAUGUGUAUAUAUGUAUAUAUAUAUAUGAUGGUCGCGUAGCCUGUUACAGCUGUCUCUCUCUCUGGGGGCGGGGCU
ensembl:lncRNA